CGGUCACGUUCGUUGCAUUUUAAAGCUAUUUUAUUAAUUAAUAUAAAAAAUAUAAAAAAUUAUAACAAUAUAUUAAAAAAUAUUAUUUUUAUUUUAAUAAAACGCAAUUAAGCAGACAAAUCAAUCCACGAACUAAGAACGGCCAUGCACCACCUAUCACAUAAUUAUGAAAGAACUAUCAUAUUUUUUUAUAUAUUUAAUCUGUCAAUCCUUAAUGUGUCCGGACCUGGUAAGAUUUCCCGUGUUGGGUCAAAUUAAGCCACAUGUUCCAC
rnacentral:rRNA from 1 species